rnacentral:rRNA from 1 species
GAUGAACGCUGGCGGCGUGCCUAAUACAUGCAAGUCGAGCGAACUGCCUCGAAGCUUGCUUUUCUGCUGUUAGCUACGGACGGGUGACUAACCCUUGGAUACCCUACCUCUCAGACUGGGAUAACUUCGUGAAACCUGCGCUCAUACCGGAUAAUAUUUUGAACCGCAUGGUUCACCAGUGAAAGACGGUCUUGCUGUCACUUAUACAUGGAUCCGCGCUGCAUUAGCUAGUUGGUAAGGUAACGGCUUACCAAGGCAACGAUGCAUAGCCGACCUGAGAGGGAGAACGACCAGACUGGAAGAGAGAAACGGCAGAGACACCGACGGGAGGAAGCAGUAGGGAAUCUUACGCAAGGGGGGAAAGCGGGACGGAGCAACGACGCGGGAGGGAUGAAGGUCUUAGGAUGGGAAAACGCUGAAAGUAGGGAAGAAGAAAAGUGUAAGUAACCGGGAAGAUAAUGACGGUACCGAAACAAAAAGCCACGGCUAACUACGUG